CUAUGACGUGUAAGAGCUGGGAACUUCCCAAGAACAUGGUUGAUAUGCAAGGUUUUUUUGCUGUCCCUAUGUCACCAAUUAUGACAUAGUAGAUCUUCCUACAUGCUCAAGCAGAAACUCCUGCCUGUGGCUUAAGAAACGUCUGCCACCAGAAUGCCAGCACACAUAUGCAGAGCUCUCUGAAGGGGAUCAUUUUCCUGUCACUAUAUAAGGGCACUUCCAAUCAUGACCACUUUCCUGUCUUCUAUGAUUGCCCUGUUGCCUGUAAUGAUACUCAUUUUUGGCUUGAUUGCUGUGUUCUGUGUCCUGCUUUUUGACACAAGACCUGCUCGUGGGGGAACAAAGAUAGUCAGGAAGUGCAAUAAAUCAGGAAAGACUGAAUAUUACAUCUAUAAUGUAGUCACCAACCCAAAUGCAACUCAAGAAGGUACUGAAUUUGAUACAGCUGAUUUACUAGUCAAGCUGGCCAAGGAGAUCGUUUCUGAUUCCAAUGUGUAUCUGAAGAUCUCUCCAAAAAAGCGGAUCUUGCCUGGCACCUCAUCAGAAGUGGAUCCCAGCCACAGUACAUGGCAUGUUCAAAUGAAAACUAAUGCCCUGGAGGACAGCAGUUCAGAUGAGGAAAGUUAUGUUUUGACUUGUGAAAAGGUGAACGACAACUGCAUCUUAAUGACAUACACUGAGCAAAAUGAACCCCCUGUCCAGAACUUGCAGGACAUUUUAUGGUUCCUCCUGGAGACAUUUUGUGGCACUUCCCAGAAGACAGAUUAUGUGAGAUCCAUCAACGUCGGUAGAAACAGAAAGACCAAGAGGGCAGCAAAAUCCAAGCCAAGAAGGCAGCAAAAGCGAAGCCAAAGAGAGUGAGCCUACCCUGUUAUCAGCUUGGCAACUUGCCCUUCCACAGCAUUCAGUGCAAAGAACCUGCUCUUCUUCGUCACCUAAGAACUAAGCUUUCUGGUGUGUUUCUCAUGCUUCAUUAAAAAUUCACUAUGUUUAACACUCAUGGAAUUUAUUUAUAGCUUUUUAUGUUUAAAAGUAAUACACUCACAUUGUAUAAUUGACAACCAAAUUCAUUGUUUUAACUACAGUGAAGAGGAAGUUAUGGGAAAGUAAAUAUUUUUAUUUUUACUUUUCCUUUUGAGAAGUAGAAAUACUGAAGGAAAAAAGGAUUUUCUCUUAGUUUUAAAAAAUUUAAGUCUCUUCUACUAAUUGAUACCUGGACAAACAUUCCCACUGCUGGGGGAAGUAGCUGACAAUUAUUUUUAAGCCUACGUUUACUGUUCUAACAUUAAGAUAACAUGCACCCGUUACUUUCUACUUGGAUAAACUAUUGCUGUGUCUGAAGGCAAGCUUAAUUUUUGUGCAUUCCAAUUUAGCUAUGAAGAAGCUGUGCUGUGAAUAAGUGGUUAGACCACUUAAGGAUCACCACUAAAGGUGCACUUCAGUAGGGUUCAGUGGCAAGGCUGACUCUAUUACUUACUGCAUAGAUGAAGUAUACAUAAGAAAAUCAGAUUAAAAUCAGUUUAGAAAGAUUUACAUGGAGACUGGUUUUGGCAGGAUGGCCUACCCCAAUAAGGCCUAGAAUCCAAUCAGAGAAUGCAUACAAUGCAAGCUAUCAUGCAAGUUAUCUGUGGCGAGCUACAGCUGGCUCCAGCCUAGUUCACCAACCUUCAAACACACAUCCUGCUUUUUGACACGGGAUUUCACAGAUAAGCUGCUUACUGGCCUGUAAAACUAUGACUACCAGUCCAUCACUUUGUAACUAUAAAAGCCGUAUCUGACUUUCAUAUGGUAGAUUCUUCCACAUACUUGAAGUGUAGAGCUUCUGCCAUGAAGCAGGGAUGUCUCUUCAUGGUUACUCCCC
ensembl:lncRNA